rnacentral:lncRNA from 1 species
AGGACAUGUCUUGUUGCUGGAGCAAGAUUAGAGGAACCAGGUCAGAAAACUGAAGAUUCAUUCAGUAAGUUUUACCUCCAUCUUUGUAUUACAUUUGUUUUGGUUAUUUGAUUUGUUCGAGAGUUCAUCGGUGAGUUUUGGCUAUAGUCUAUAGAUUCUAAAUCUUCUUUUACCUUUUGGCUGGAUUUGCAGUGCAUGUUCCAGGAGAGUUUACACUUCAUGUGUUUUUGAAUUGGUGUUUAAACCUUAUGCAAGCUUAGAAUAUUGAAUAAAUUAUUUCGGCCAAGUCUUCUUCUGCUGCAUAUGCUGCUUUGGAAGUGAU